rnacentral:rRNA from 1 species
UGGAGUAAAAGGNUAUGGCUCAACCAUAGUGUGCUCUGGAAACUGUNUGACUUGAGUGCAGAAGGGGAGAGUGGAAUUCCAUGUGUAGCGGUGAAAUGCGUAGAUAUAUGGAGGAACACCAGUGGCGAAAGCGGCUCUCUGGUCUGUCACUGACGCUGAGGCUCGAAAGCGUGGGUAGCGAACAGGAUUAGAUACCCUGGUAGUNCACGCCGUAAACGAUGAGUGCUAGGUGUUAGGCCCUUUCCGGGGCUUAGUGCCGGAGCUAACGCAAUAAGCACUCCGCCUGGGGAGUACGACCGCAAGGUUGAAACUCAAAGGAAUUGACGGGGGCCCGCACAAGCGGUGGAGCAUGUGGUUUAAUUCGAAGCAACGCGAAGAACCUUACCAGGUCUUGACAUCCCGAUGCUAUUCUUAGAGAUAGGAAGUUACUUCGGUACAUCGGAGACAGGUGGUGCAUGGUUGUCGUCAGCUCGUGUCGUGAGAUGUUGGGUUAAGUCCCGCAACGAGCGCAACCCUUAUUGUUAGUUGCCAUCAUUAAGUUGGGCACUCUAGCGAGACUGCCGGUAAUAAACCGGAGGAAGGUGGGGAUGACGUCAAAUCAUCAUGCCCCUUAUGACCUGGGCUACACACGUGCUACAAUGGUCGGUACAACGAGUUGCGAGCCGGUGACGGCAAGCUAAUCUCUGAAAGCCGAUCUCAGUUCGGAUUGGAGGCUGCAACUCGCCUCCAUGAAGUCGGAAUCGCUAGUAAUCGCGGAUCAGCACGCCGCGGUGAAUACGUUCCCGGGCCUUGUACACACCGCCCGUCACACCACGAGAGUUUGUAACACCCGAAGUCGGUGAGGUAACCUUUUAGGGGCC